UACGUAGGGUGCAAGCGUUAAUCGGAAUACUGGGCGUAAAGCGUGCGCAGGCGGUUCGUUAAGUCAGAUGUGAAAGCCCCGGGCUCAACCUGGGAACUGCAUUGAAACUGGCGGGCUUGAGUGUGGCAGAGGGGGGUGGAAUUCCGCGUGUAGCAGUGAAAUGCGUAGAGAUGCGGAGGAACACCGAUGGCGAAGGCAGCCCCCUGGGCCAACACUGACGCUCAGGCACGAAAGCGUGGGGAGCAAACAGG
rnacentral:rRNA from 1 species